rnacentral:rRNA from 1 species
ACACUCCUACGGGAGGCAGCAGUGGGGAAUAUUGGACAAUGGGCGCAAGCCUGAUCCAGCCAUGCCGCGUGAGUGAUGAAGGCCCUAGGGUUGUAAAGCUCUUUCACCGGUGAAGAUAAUGACGGUAACCGGAGAAGAAGCCCCGGCUAACUUCGUGCCAGCAGCCGCGGUAAUACGAAGGGGGCUAGCGUUGUUCGGAUUUACUGGGCGUAAAGCGCACGUAGGCGGACUAUUAAGUCAGGGGUGAAAUCCCGGGGCUCAACCCCGGAACUGCCUUUGAUACUGGUAGUCUUGAGUUCGGGAGAGGUGAGUGGAAUUCCGAGUGUAGAGGUGAAAUUCGUAGAUAUUCGGAGGAACACCAGUGGCGAAGGCGGCUCACUGGCUCGAUACUGACGCUGAGGUGCGAAAGCGUGGGGAGCAAACAGGAUUAGAAACCCCAGUAGUCCC